GGCCCCUUACCUCCCCGUCCGCCCAAUUGUUCUCCUUCGUCUCUCUCUCUUUUCUUGUCUCUUAAACCCUAGAAGGGUUUUUCAUUUUUUUUUUCUUUUGGGUCAAAUUUCUUGAUUUUCAUCUCUCUGCUGAUGUAAUUAUCCUUAAAAAUCGAUUAGUAGAAUCGGUUUCAGUGUUGAUUUCUUUCACACGAAACCAUGAGUUCUCUUGCUAAGGCUCUAGCAAGGCGCGUAUAUUCAUCUUCUCAGUUGAGAGCAACACCAACAAGAGAAAGAACAUGGGUUAUCUUGCAACAGUUUCACUCCAUUUCUACUACCACUGCAAGCAGAACUGGCAGUGGUGCUGAACCCAAAUCUUACAAAUUAACCAAUACGCCCAUAGAGAUGGCAGAGACACCGUCGUGGCCGAGGCCCGCUGAGAUACCGUACCAGCCGAAGGUAGCCAACUCAGUGAAUCUGAUUGGCUUCGUGAAUCAGACGGUAGAAUUCCAGGCUGCCUCCGAUGGCAAGUUCUGGGCAGGAACCGUCAUCUCCCAGCGUUCUUCUUCGUCUGACUCUUCUGGCGUCUGGAUCCCGAUUAUAUUUGAAGGUGAUUUGGCUCAUGUUGCUGCUUGCCAUUUGAAGAAAAAUGAUCACAUCCAUAUAUCAGGACAACUUUUUGCAGAUGCUCCUCCUUCCACUACACCUCAAACACCAGUGAAUAUCCAGGUUAUGGUACACAGUCUCAAUUUUGUUGAGGAAGAUUCUCGAGCGAAGCAAGACUUUGCACCAUGGAGAAAAGGUGUAUUAGAACAUUCCGCUAGUGUGAAGAGAGAUGAAGAUAAUGGAUUUGGCUCUUGGAAAGACCUUCUUGAUAAUCCACAAGAGUGGUGGGAUUACCGUGAUGAUAAAAAAAAGGGAUUGGUGAAGCCAAAAUUUCCUGAUUUUAAACGCAAGGAUGGUGGUCAUGCACUUUGGCUUAAUAAGAUUCCUCGCCUGGUUUUGAAAAAACUUGAAACAGUGGAGCUUGACAGACCAGUUUCUAAGUUUAAACAAUUCAAGCAACAAAAAGGGGAUGAAUCCUGGAAGAACUUGGUUGAAAACCCAAAUAAGUGGUGGGACAACAGAUUAGAUAAGAGGACUGAAAAGUAUCCAGACUUCAAGCACAAAGAAACUGGUGAAUGCCUAUGGCUAAGCGGUUCUCCAACAUGGGUACUACCAAAGUUGCCGUCUCCAAAGCAUGAAAGGGCAUCUGCUGCCAGUGGCGAAGUGGUGGAAAGAGGGAUCUGAGUCUUUUGUAACCGAGCUUUAACCAGAAUUUGGUCUGCCUACGCAUCUGGGGAUGAAGAAAGUUGCUCAGUUCUUUUAAAGCAAAUUGUAAAGUAUUGAUUAGAUACAAAAAGAAGUAUGGGGCAUGAAAGAUGGUGAACAGAUGCAGUGUGAGUUCUGUUGAGAAUAAGGAUAAAAAGGUAGGAGGAGUCGUCAAAGUUGUUGAAUGAGGAUGGAAAGAGAAAAGGAAGUCAACAAAGAAGUUGGAGUGGAGAGGAAGGAAAAAGGGAA